UGGGCGUUAAGUUGCAGGGUAUAGACCCGAAACCCGGUGAUCUAGCCAUGGGCAGGUUGAAGGUUGGGUAACACUAACUGGAGGACCGAACCGACUAAUGUUGAAAAAUUAGCGGAUGACCUGUGGCUGGGGGUGAAAGGCCAAUCAAACCGGGAGAUAGCUGGUUCUCCCCGAAAGCUAUUUAGGUAGCGCCUCGUGAAUUCAUCUCCGGGGGUAGAGCACUGUUUCGGCUAGGGGGCCAUCCCGGCUUACCAACCCGAUGCAAACUGCGAAUACCGGAGAAUGUUAUCACGGGAGACACACGGCGGGUGCUAACGUCCGUCGUGAAGAGGGAAACAACCCAGACCGCCAGCUAAGGUCCCAAAGUCAUGGUUAAGUGGGAAACGAUGUGGGAAGGCCCAGACAGCCAGGAUGUUGGCUUAGAAGCAGCCAUCAUUUAAAGAAAGCGUAAUAGCUCACUGGUCGAGUCGGCCUGCGCGGAAGAUGUAACGGGGCUAAACCAUGCACCGAAGCUGCGGCAGCGAACGUAUCACCCAA
rnacentral:rRNA from 1 species